rnacentral:rRNA from 1 species
AUGGCCAAGCAUGAUGAAGCUGCACACGCGGUAUCUCCUGGACUUGCAACUCCAGGUGAUUCUAGUGAUGGGCCAAGCUCAUCACGUGAGCCACCUAGCAGCCUUCCUGCUAGGCCGCUUUCUCCUGGCCAUACAAGCAAAUUGGCUAGCCUCCUCUCUAGUGGGACUCCACAUCUGCCUGUUACUGGGCAGCGUGGCGCAGCUUCUACGCACUUUCCACGGGACACCAUCGAGCUGGAAUUGCCUCCACAGCUGACCGAUGCUUUGGCCAUGGCAGCGUGUACGCGAAGGUACAAAGAGGCAACGCACACGUCUUGUAGCUAA